UGGCUCAGGACGAACGCUGGCGGCGUGCUUAACACAUGCAAGUCGAGCGAUGAAGUCUCUUCGGAGACGGAUUAGCGGCGGACGGGUGAGUAACACGUGGGUAACCUGCCUCAUAGAGGGGAAUAGCCUUCCGAAAGGAAGAUUAAUACCGCAUAAGAUUGUAGUUUCGCAUGAAACAGCAAUUAAAGGAGUAAUCCGCUAUGAGAUGGACCCGCGUCGCAUUAGCUAGUUGGUGAGGUAACGGCUCACCAAGGCGACGAUGCGUAGCCGACCUGAGAGGGUGAUCGGCCACAUUGGGACUGAGACACGGCCCAGACUCCUACGGGAGGCAGCAGUGGGGAAUAUUGCACAAUGGGGGAAACCCUGAUGCAGCCAACGCCGCGUGAGUGAUGACGGUCUUCGGAUUGUAAAGCUCUGUCUUCAGGGACGAUAAUGACGGUACCUGAGGAGGAAGCCACGGCUAACUACGUGCCAGCCGCGGC
rnacentral:rRNA from 1 species